UUCUGGACAAUGGGGGCAACCCUGAUCCAGCAAUGCCGCGUGCAGGAAGAAGGCCUUCGGGUUGUAAACUGCUUUUGUCAGGGAAGAAAUCCUGUGGGUUAAUACCUCGUGGGGAUGACGGUACCUGAAGAAUAAGCACCGGCUAACUACGUGCCAGCAGCCGCGGUAAUACGUAGGGUGCGAGCGUUAAUCGGAAUUACUGGGCGUAAAGCGUGCGCAGGCGGUUUUGUAAGACAGAGGUGAAAUCCCAGGGCUCAACCUGGGAACUGCCUUUGUGACUGCAAGGCUGGAGUACGGCAGAGGGGGAUGGAAUUCCGCGUGUAGCAGUGAAAUGCGUAGAUAUGCGGAGGAACACCGAUGGCGAAGGCAAUCCCCUGGGCCUGUACUGACGCACAUGCACGAA
rnacentral:rRNA from 1 species